CUAGCAGUAGGGUUGCUUCGAUCGCAAACUAACAGUGGAGUGCAGUGGAAUUGGGUUUGGUAUCAAUAGGAUUGACCUGUUGGAUGUGAGAGUAAUCCAUGGAAACGGGAUCUCACAGCAUUGUGGAAAAUUGAUAUCGAUGGGAAGGUGAAUGGAUCAGUUGAGACAUGCUUUGGGUCUUUUCAUC